GGCCUACCAUGGUGGUAACGGGUAACGGGGCGUUAGGGCACGACACCGGAGAGGGAGCCUGAGAAACGGCUACCACAUCCAAGGAUGGCAGCAGGCGCGCAAAUUACCCAAUCCCGACACGGGGAGGUAGUGACAAUAAAUAACAAUACGGGGUUCUUUCGGAUUUCGUAAUUGGAAUGAGUACAAUUUAAAUCUCUUAACGAGGAACAAUUGGAGGGCAAGUCUGGUGCCAGCAGCCGCGGUAAUUCCAGCUCCAAUAGCGUAUAUUAAAGUUGCUGCAGUUAAAAAGCUCGUAGUUGAAUUUCGGGACCAAUAUGUUGGUCGUGCCUCGGUACGUACUGGCAUUGUUGGUUUCUCCCUUCUGAAGAACCAUGAUGUCAUUUAUUUGGUGUCAUGGGGAAUCAGGACUGUUACUUUGAAAAAAUUAGAGUGUUUAAAGCAGGCUCACGCUUGAACACAUUAGCAUGGAAUAAUGAAAUAGGGCGUUUGAUUCUAUUUUGUUGGUUUCUAGGAUCGACGUAAUGAUUAAUAGGGAUAGUUGGGGGCAUUAGUAUUCAAUUGUCAGAGGUGAAAUUCUUGGAUUUAUUGAAGACUAACUACUGCGAAAGCAUUUGCCAAGGAUGUUUUCAUUAAUCAAGAACGAAAGUUAGGGGAUCGAAGACGAUCAGGUACCGUCGUAGUCUUAACCAUAAACUAUGCCGACUAGGGAUCGGAUGAUGUUAAUUUUUUAAUGACUCAUUCGGCGCCUUACGGGAAACCAAAGUGUUUGGGUUC
rnacentral:rRNA from 1 species